GAUUAACGCUGGCGGCGUGCCUAACACAUGCAAGUCGAACGAGGUAGCAAUACCUAGUGGCAGACGGGUGAGUAACGCGUGGUCAACCUACCGUUGAGUGGGGGGAUAACUAGCCGAAAGGUUAGCUAAUACCGCAUACGUCUCCGAGGGGCAUCCCUUGGCGAUAAAAGGAGCAAUCCGCUCGAUGACGGGACCGCGUCCCAUUAGCUAGAUGGUGGGGUAACGGCCUACCAUGGCACCGAUGGGUAGCUGGUUUGAGAGAGCGACCAGCCACACUGGGACUGAGAAACGGCCAGACUCCUACGGGAGGCAGCAGUGAGGAAUUUUCCGCAAUGGGCGCAAGCCUGACGGAGCGACGCCGCGUGUGGGAAGAAGGCCUU
rnacentral:rRNA from 1 species